rnacentral:rRNA from 1 species
CGUUAGAUCACCGAAGUUAAGCAUCGUAGAGCCAGGUCAGUACUUAGAUAUGAGACGGCUUGGGAACACCUGGUAUUGA